CCAGGCCUAUAAGAUGAUUCUAUCGCUCAAACUUCAUGAUCAAACCCAUCCAAUGCUACGUGUCUUAUGAUUUUGAAAGGAAAGAGAAAAUUGGAGAUGUGAGCUUUACAACCUAGUAAGAAUUCUAUCAAACUUAUGCCAAUAUAAUAAUACAAUUCAAAAUAAUGAGUAAGCAAUAUCAAAGAGAAUCAUAAGUCAUAAAAUCUUAUGUCAAGUGAUAGGUG
rnacentral:lncRNA from 1 species